rnacentral:rRNA from 1 species
UACAGAGGGUGCGAGCGUUAAUCGGAAUUAUUGGGCGUAAAGGGAGCGUAGGCGGAUGAUCAAGUGGUAUGUGAAAUACCCGGGCUUAACCUGGGGAGGUCAUAUCAGACUGGUCGUCUAGAGUAUGGUAGAGGAAGGUGGAAUUCCUGGUGUAGCGGUGAAAUGCGUAGAUAUCAGGAAGAACAUCGAUGGCGAAGGCAGCCUUCUGGGCCGAUUACUGACGCUGGAGGCUACGAAAGCCGUGGGGAGCGAACAGG